GAAUACGGAGACAGAGUCAGUAUUUGUAAAAUGCACAAGAAGAACGUACUCUGUGAGAAAGAGGAUAACACUAAAAAGUGUUGUAACUCUUGCUAUGGCUAUAAACCGAAGCGUUUAGAUGCUGACAAUUUCGAUUCAUUGUUCAGUAUAACGGAAUUGAGCCUGCCAUAAAAUGUAACCUAUCCAAUGAACUAUCGUGACCAGGAUCAGAAGUAAAUUGUAGGAAAUAAAAUGAUCUGUGAUCUGUAUCA
rnacentral:sRNA from 1 species